rnacentral:rRNA from 1 species
UACGAAGGGGGCUAGCGUUGUUCGGAAUUACUGGGCGUAAAGCGCACGUAGGCGGAUAUUUAAGUCAGGGGUGAAAUCCCAGAGCUCAACUCUGGAACUGCCUUUGAUACUGGGUAUCUUGAGUAUGGAAGAGGUAAGUGGAAUUGCGAGUGUAGAGGUGAAAUUCGUAGAUAUUCGCAGGAACACCAGUGGCGAAGGCGGCUUACUGGUC